UUCCAAAUUUGAAAGCCCACUUUAUAUUCUACAGGGCAGAUUCAGGCUGGAGGAAUCUUAUCCUAACACUCACAUGCUCCUACAGAUUGCUUUUUGACCGUGAAUACCUCGUUUUAUAGUCCCAUUUUUCUAAGUGAUAUCCUGAACUAAGGAAUAAUUUAGAUAAUAAAUCCAUUUCAAUUACUGUCCAUUAGAAGACAGGAAAACAUUAAACCCAACCAAAGCUGUGGGAAUUAUGGGUUGCCCUUUCAGGUGGAAAUUCAUUUAAUGCGGCCAUAGGUAACACCACUCGAUCCAGCACGUGUUCUUUCUUAUGAAAAGAGCGCUCCGCGUUCCAACGACAGGUUUCUCUACCACACUUGUGAAGGACAAAACCACAGCCGUUUACUCUUCCCGACACAAAACCAGACUCCAUGGCAGGAAGAGACGACCGUGGCCGGACUUUUUGACUCCCUGGCCGACUCACUCUCCUCCUCCUCCUCCUCCUCCUCCUCUCUGUGACGUCCCUUCCUCAGCCAGCUGCAGCUCCUGAGCUCUUCCUACACUUCCAGACAGACGCAGACAGCACCCACUGUGGGGGCUGGGAGGCCCAAUUUCACAUCCCUCGGAGAAUCCGAUUGGUUCAGCCCAGGUGGGUCCUGCUCCGGCCCGUCAGACGUGCGCGGGCGAUCCCGCAAGCACACCUGUCACUCAGACUGCUGUGAUGGGCCAGGUCUCAGAGAAAACAGCUGGUUCAAGGGCUAAGUGAAUACCCCCAACGUCGAUCUAUUUCAGUAAUUUUCCCUAAAGCAUUUCAGGAAAAUGACAUUUUGAACUACAAAUGGUCCCCAUGUUAUGAUGGUUCAACUUAAGAUUUUUCAACUUUACGAUGGUGCAAAGGAGAUAUGCUUUUAGUAGAAACCUUAUUCUGAAUUUCAAUGUUUCCCCAGGCUAAGCGACAUGCAGCCCGGUGCUCUUGCAGCGAGCCGCAGCCCGUCAGCACCCAAUUGUGAGGUGAACAACCUGUACCCUACAGCGGAUGGUGUUGCCAGACGACUUCGCCAACUGUAGGCUGACAGGUGUCUGAAUGCGUUUAAAGCAGGCUGGGCCAACCUAUGAUGCUCCACAGGGACAGGGUUUGAUCAGAAAGCGCGUAAGGAGGCAGGAGAGUCUUCAGCAGAGACAGCAGAAGGGAUGAGACUGGAGACAAGAACAAGAGGGUGUGCCGGGGACAGAGAGUGAUUGCUCUUCUGGCUCAAUGUUCCUGUCAUUGAGACGUCAGCCAAACAGCGCUCUUUAGAGAGGCCUUCCGUGAGCAGAAAAUGGUUCUACUCCAAGCACUUCGGAACACCAAAUAAAUAAGUAAAUGAUAAUACAACGUAAGAAAAAAAACAAUGAAAAGAACAUGAAGCAAAACCAGAAAUAAACAAAAUCUUCCCAGAUCUCACAUGCUCUCAGAUGUUCUCAGGAAGCCCAGCAUCCAGAAGGCUCCGUGAUAAGCGUGCAGGGCGAGGCGUCCAGCGAAAGCCGUGCCGCUCACACUUGCAGAGAACACCUUCCUCCCACCUCAGCAGGAACAGACUGUCACAAGAUCGCUGCCCUCCUCUUUUUAUCAAAGUCACUUACAAAGGAAAGCUCAACGAUCAGUAUUGCUACGUUACAAGAGGCAAGCAUAUGUCCUUUUCAUCAUGGAUUUAUUCUUCCACAAAGUAAGAAUAAAACAGUUUCACACACACAAAAAAUAACAUAUGACCAAUUUGCGGGCAUUCAUGCCCAUUUGGACAAGUAAAAAAGAGUUAAAAUCGAUAAAUCUGUUCAGACUGCCUGCCUGUAGAUGCUCCAUUAUAUUGUAAAUACUUUUUUCUAUUCCUCUCACUUUUUGCAAGUUACUUUCUAUUCUUAUUUCUCUAACUCUACGAAUAUUAUACAUACUAGUUUUGACAGACUUUGCAUCUAGAAGUUUUCUAUCUUUGCCACACAUUUGAAAGCCUUUAUUUAUGGUCUCUUCCCUGACUCCAAAGGCAUUACUGUCCUCCAAAGAGUUAGAUUCGAACUGUAAGUCCACCAAGAUCGAGAAACGGACACACAGGAGUCUGUCUGGGGUGAGGGCAGGAGGUGGGGGGCGAGGUCAGACGACGGGGAGCCAUGGGGUGAUGUGAGGUGCCAAGAGAGAGGCAGCGCCC